CCUACGGGAGGCAGCAGUGGGGAAUAUUGGGCAAUGGAGGAAACUCUGACCCAGCGACGCCGCGUGCGGGAUGAAGGCCUUCGGGUUGUAAACCGCUUUCAGCAGGGAAGAAGCGAAAGUGACGGUACCUGCAGAAGAAGCACCGGCUAACUAUGUGCCAGCAGCCGCGGUAAUACAUAGGGUGCAAGCGUUGUCCGGAAUUAUUGGGCGUAAAGAGCUCGUAGGUGGUUCGUCACGUCGGAUGUGAAAAUCUGGGGCUUAACCCCAGACCUGCAUUCGAUACGGGCGAGCUUGAGUAUGGUAGGGGAGUCUGGAAUUCCUGGUGUAGCGGUGGAAUGCGCAGAUAUCAGGAGGAACACCAAUGGCGAAGGCAGGACUCUGGGCCAUUACUGACACUGAGGAGCGAAAGCGUGGGGAGCGAACAGGAUUAGAUACCCUGGUAGUCCACGCCGUAAACGGUGGGCACUAGUUGUGGGGACCUUCCACGGUCUCUGCGACGCAGCUACGCAUAGUCGCCCGCCGUCGGGAGGUACGAGUCGCGAAGAAUUAAAACUUAAAUAGAAGUUAGACGGCGUGAGACGUGCCGACGGACGACGACGAGGGAGGUAGG
rnacentral:rRNA from 1 species